AUUGGAAGGGAUGUAUUUAUUAGAUAAAAAACCAAUGCCCUUUGGGCUCUCUGGUGAUUCAUAAUAACUCAACGAAUCGCAUGGCCUUGCGCCGGCGAUGGUUCAUUCAAAUUUCUGCCCUAUCAACUUUCGAUUGGAAGGUAGUGUCCUCCAAUGGUUUCGACGGGUAACGAAGAAUUAGGGUUCGAUCUCGGAGAGGAAGCCUGAGAAACGGCUUACACAUCCAAGGAAGGCAGCAGGCGCGCAAAUUACCCAAUCCCAAUUCGGGGAGGUAGUGACAAUAAAUACUGAUGCAGGGCUCUUUAGGGUCUUGCAAUUGGAAUGAGUACAAUUUAAAUCCCUUAACGAGGAACAAUUGGAGGGCAAGUCUGGUGCCAGCAGCCGCGGUAAUUCCAGCUCCAAUAGCGUAUAUUAAAGUUGUUGCAGUUAAAAAGCUCGUAGUUUGACCUAGGGCUCGGUCGGCUGGUCCGCCUCACCGCGAGUACUAGUUCGACUGAGCCUUUUCUUCUGGGGAGCCGCAUGGCCUUCACUGGCUGUGUUGGGGAACCAGGACUUUUAC
rnacentral:rRNA from 1 species